rnacentral:rRNA from 1 species
GUCUCAGGCCGUAUCAGCCUGAAGGCGCCCGAUCUCGUCUGAUCUCGGAAGCUAAGCAAGGGUCGGGCCUGGUUAGGAUCUUGGAUGGGAGACCAACCUGGGAAUCCCGGGUGCUCGAGGCU